ACCAACCGCCAACGCCGCUGCCGCGCCGCGCUGCGCUGCGCUGCGAUAAACUCGCGCCGGUCGCUGGUUCGCAGCGACCUCCUCACUACCGUCGUCAUUACCUAGCCUGUGUCCUCUGGUCAACUCGUCUCCGUGAGACGCCAGUGGAUAGCCACUGCUCGGAUCAGGGCAGUCGACAGUUCCCGACACAACGUCUGCCACGUGUAGCUGACGAUGAGACUAUCGGCAAAGGAACGUCUGUGCUGAAGAGCUUCGGUGCUCAGGACUCUGCGCUCUUAUACCUGUCUGCUGCCGCCAGCAUCCGCAUCUAGGGACUGUUGCACGGUACCCAGCCUCAAUUAGGUGGAGUGUCUGAGGAAUUUAUCGGAGGCCAGGCAGGGCGGGCCGUGGUCGACGCUGGCUGCGGGCAGCUGGGCGGCAGCAGAGCAG